GACGUAGGGCGCGAGCGUUGUCCGGAUUUAUUGGGCGUAAAGCGCUCGUAGGCGGCUUGUCGCGUCGACCGUGAAAACUUGGGGCUCAACCCCAAGCCUGCGGUCGAUACGGGCAGGCUCGAGUUCGGUAGGGGAGACUGGAAUUCCUGGUGUAGCGGUGAAAUGCGCAGAUAUCAGGAGGAACACCGAUGGCGAAGGCAGGUCUCUGGGCCGAUACUGACGCUGAGGAGCGAAAGCGUGGGGAGCGAACAGG
rnacentral:rRNA from 1 species